GAUGAACGCUGGCGGCGUGCUUAAUACAUGCAAGUCGAGCGAACAGACGAUGAUCUUGCUCCUCUGACGUUAGCGACGGACGGGUGAGUAACACGUGGAUAACCUACCUAUAAGGCUUGGACAACUUCGGGAAACCGGAAUACAUACCAGGAAAUAGCUUUAACCGCAUUGUUCAAUAGUUAAAGACGGGUAUGCUGUGACUUAUAGAUGUAUCCGCGUCGCAUUAGCUUGUUGGUAAGGUAACGGCUUACCAAGGCAACGAUGCGUAGCCGAGCUGAGAGGGGGAUCGGCCACACUGGAACUGAGACACGGUCCAGACUCCUACGGGAGGCAGCAGUAGGGAAUCUUGCACAAUGGGCGAAAGCCUGACGGAGCAACGCAGCGUGAGUGAUGAAGGUCUUCGGAUCGUAAAACUCUGUUAUUAGGGAAGAACAAAUGUGUAAGUACCUAUGCACGGCUUGACGGUAACUGAUCAGAAAGCCACGGCUAACUACGUG
rnacentral:rRNA from 1 species